CUUCAUCUUCCUCAUCACCUGAUCCCCUUUCCUUGGAUUUCUUUGUACUGGCAGUAGCUAAGGAGAGUGGAGUUUCUGGAUUUGGUUCUUUUUCAAGAUUCCAGGAGAAGAUUAAGAAUAGGAUUGGGGUUUAUCUUGGAGUCGUCUUCCUGUCUGUGGUUGCAAACCUUAUAGUGAACUUUUCCUGUGUCAAAUCUGAGGCCUUACACCCAGUGGGCCCAGCCCUGUUGGAUGCGGCCGAUCUGCCAGUGGUCUGAUAAGUGCUUAUGGUUGUGGAAACAAAUAUGGAAGAAAAAAGCCAAAGUAGAUC